rnacentral:snRNA from 1 species
AUAUCUUUUUCGGCCUUUUGACUAAGAUCAAGUGUAGUAUUUGUUCUUAUCAAUUUAAUAUUUCAUAUGUGAGUUAUCCACUCACAUGAUAUUAACUUAUUUUUUUAAGGGAGAAGGUCCAUCAUAAUAGCUCGCUAUCAGGGCCUUCAUGUGUCGCCUAGGUGUUGCACUAUUGCCUUGGCGUGGCGCACCCCAC